rnacentral:tRNA from 1 species
GGGGUUGUGGCUCAGUGGUAGAGCGCUCACCUAGCAAGUGUGAGGCACUGGGUUCCAUCCUCAGCACCA